GACAUAUCCCAUUAGAUAUGGAUGAUGCUGCUUUGGAGGGUCUAUUAGCUGGCAUACAGCAUGAUCAGGUUGAUCUACUAGGAUGCAGGUGGAGGACUCGAUUGAUUGGUGCUAAUAAUCCGGUGCUACACACAGUUAUAUAUUAUAGGGAUCAGUUAGAUCAGCAGCAUGAUGAUCAGAUAUUAUGGGUGCCUUACACACCAGAUAUAUUAACCGCAUUGCCCGAGAUAUGUCGAUCAGAUCAGCAUGUAUGGAGGACACGCGCACCUCUCAUUUGCUUCGACAUCGUGGAGAGUUUGGCAUGCACCAGGAUGUUCCCCCACCAUAUGACACUUGAGACGCUCUCCACCGUUUGGAUCGAUGAGGGCGACAUCAUCAUGAUUGGGUUCGAGAGCAUUGGGAGUAUAUUGAUGCAUGGGAGAGAUGAGAGGAUUUGAUUGUUGCUGGUCCACCUAUGCUUUCCAUGAUGGAUUAUUAUGAUCCAUGUCUGUAGUGGUACAGGAGCAUCACCAGAUGAUUCAUCUCGCUAUUGAUGAGUGAGCAUCUCGAGAUGAGGUUCCGUACUUCGAGUGGUAUGAUGGAUAUUGUGUUUCAUAGGAUCACAUCGUGAUAUUAUACGAUAAGGAGUAGAUUCCAUUCGAUCGCUGUUGGAUGUAAGGAUCGAGCACUUAUCGAUAUUAUGGACGGCCUUAUUGAUACUAUGCGAGUUGUCUCAAAGGAUAGACGACUUUAAAUUGUGCCAUCGGCAACCAGAAAUGAGACACAUUUACGAGAGACGGAUGCGUAGGAGGCUCCAGUAUCUUGAUAUAUACAGCUCUCGAUAAUUAUGAUAU